rnacentral:rRNA from 1 species
GGUGAACGCUGGCGGUAUGCUUAACACAUGCAAGUCGAACGGUCACUUCGGUGCUAGUGGCGGACGGGUGAGUAACGCGUGAGAAUCUGUCUUCAGGUCGGGGACAACAGUUAGAAAUGACUGCUAAUACCGGAUGUGCCUUUGGGUGAAAGAUUUAUUGCCUGAAAAAGAGCUCGCGUCAGAUUAGCUAGUAGGUGGUGUAAGAGACUACCUAGGCUCCGAUCUGUAGCUGGUCUGAGAGGACGAUCAGCCACACUGGAACUGAGACACGGUCCAGACUCGUACGGGAGGCAGCAGUGGGGAAUUUUCCGCAAUGGGCGAAAGCCUGACGGAGCAAUACCGCGUGAGGGACGAAGGCUUUUGGGUCGUAAACCUCUUUUCUCAAGGAAGAUGAUGACGGUACUUGAUGAAUAAGCAUCGGCUAACUCUGUG